AGCAGCCGCGGUAAUUCCAGCUCCAAUAGCGUAUAUUAAAGUUGUUGCAGUUAAAAGCUCGUAGUUGAAUUUCGGGAUUGACGUGAUGGUCGUGCCUUAAGGGGUAUGAACUGUUGCAGUUGAUUUCUCACCUUCUGGAAAAACUUGAUGUCCUUUAUUGGGUGUCUUGCGGAUCCAGGACCUUUACCUUGAAAAAAUUAGAGUGUUUAAAGCAGGCAUUUUUGCUCGAAUACAUUAGCAUGGAAUAAUAGAAUAGGACGGCAUGGUUCUAUUUUGUUGGUUUCUAGGAUCACCGUAAUGAUUAAUAGGGAUAGUUGGGGGCAUUAGUAUUCAAUUGUCAGAGGUGAAAUUCUUGGAUUUAUUGAAGACUAACUACUGCGAAAAGCAUUUGCCAAGGAUGUUUUCAUUAAUCAAGAACGAAAGAUUUGGGGACAAGACGAUCAGAUACCGUCGUAGUCUUAACCAUAAACUAUGCCGACUAGGAAUCAGACGAUGUUAAUUUUUUAAUGACUCGUUU
rnacentral:rRNA from 1 species